CCUUCCCGCCCCCACGUCGCGCAGGUGUGGCGUCCAGCGGCCCCGUCUCGCUGCUCCUCCCACCUAGCCCGCGGCUCCGCCCCGCCGUCUUUCCCCUCAGCCGGGUCUACCUGGAAAAGCUUGACGGCCCAGAGCCCUACCGGAGGCUUGACGGCGGGUGCGGAGAGCCGACCUGAAGACGGCCCGGCUGAGCGCCCUAGGCCCGGCACCCAGACUGGACCGGCCUCGCCUCGUCCAAGACUCCCGCCCUCCGGAGGAAGCCGCGCAAUCACUCUGGGGGCGGGGAGAGAAAGACAGCUGAAAGGAAGGAGGCACCACCAGGCCUCUCUCGCGAGAGGGCCGAAGAGCCGCCUUGAACGGGGGCGUGUGCCUGGUGAGGAGCCGAAAGGUCUUCGGAAGGCUGGGAUGUAGGGUUCGGCGCCCUUGUUGACGUUGUUGGGGGAUCCUCGGACUUGCAGGUGGAAGCGGGUUCUCUCGGCUUGCGGUCGGGGGGCGCGGAAUCGGCUGUGCCGCCUGCCCCCUCGGGGCUCCCUGGACCCCGGGACUUGGGAACGUAGCAACGAGGACUGUAGGGGAUGGGGCGUGAGGUGCCGCCGGAAGGCCCGGGACGCGAGUGGAGGCGAGCCCCAGGCCUCGCGGAGUUGUCCGUGAGCCUGUGGGGAGGUCGAGGCCGCCGCCGCCGUGGCACGAUGAAUUUCCUCGCCCGCUAGGCCAUGUGAGAGUAUCCGCGGGACUCUGGUGCCCAGGGCUCGUUUUGCGGAUGCCCCAGGCCCAAGUAGUAGAGCAGAUCACUGGUGGGACACUUAGGGGCAUUGAACCGGGUGUUGUGUCCAGACGGACUCUCUAUGAGAAUAAACCCAUUAUGCCCUAGUUAUGUCUUAAUACCUGGGUGAUGAUGAUGUGGCCGCUCCGUGUUCCUGAGCGCACGCAGAAGCUGUCUUGGCCCACUAAGAAAAACAUUAACAGACGAGACCACCCAACCGGAAAGAAUCUUCUCUGGAAUUCGUCAGAUGAAACCUCCCGCACAGUAACUCAAAAGGUCCAAAAUCCAGAUUAUCAGCUCUUGAGUACUGACAGAAAGCUCACUGCUUGGGGCGCCUGGGUGGCUCAGUUGGUUGGACGACUGCCUUCGGCUCAGGUCAUGAUCCUGGAGUCCUAGGAUCGAGUCCCGCAUUGGGCUCCCAGCAUCAUGGGGAGUCUGCUUCUCCCUCUGACCUUCUCAUCACUCAUCUCUCUCACUGUCUCUCUCUCAAAUAAAUAAAUAAAAAUCUUUAAAAAAAAAAAAAAGAAAGAAAGAAAGAAAGCUCACUGCUUUACAGCAAAUGAUGAAUAAAUUAAUGAAGUGAGAAUUUUUUGCAUAAAGUUUGUCAGUUUGAGCCCUUUACCAAUUAUACACAUUUCAGCCUACUUAAAGAGAAGAAAUACUAUAAACACUUGACACCGUUAUGAAGCAUUUUAUAUUUUCAGCUUGAAGUUUGAGAGACACUGUGUGACUGAAGUAUGUCAUUCUUCUUAACUGAAUAAUCCCAGAACCUCCAGGUUGAUACUUGGAGAUUCUGCUAUUUGAAAAGUAGAUGGAUUAUGCAGCCCUGUUUUCUGAAAAUUCAUUUUGUCCUUGGAAUUAUUCUCUAUUUGCUGGCACUACUACUUGGCCUCAAAAUAUCAGCAUGUAACUUUUUCUUAAUACUUUGCAAUAUAGCUGAGAAGAGACUAAAUUUGAACUUAUAGCAAUAUAACUUAAAACUGGAACAUUAUAGGGGCACCUGGGUGACUCAGUGGGCUAAGCCUCUGCCUUUGGUUCAGGUCAUGAUCUCAGGGUCCUGGGAUGGAGCCCUGCAUCAGGUUCUCUGCUCAGCAGGGAGCCUGCUCCCCACCCCCCCACCCCACCCCCGCCUCUCUGCCUACUUGUGAUCUCUGUCAAAUAAAUAAAAUAUUUUUAAAAAACUAACAUUAUAAAUGGUUUAGGGUACUUAUUUAGGUUUAUAAAUUUAUAAUUUAGGGUAUUUAUUUAGAUGUAUGUUUAAAAAUACUUUUCAGGACGCCUGGGUGGCUUAGUGGGUUAAAGCCUCUUGCCUUCCGCUCAUGAUCCUAGGGUCCUGGGAUGGAUUCCCAAGUAAAUAAAUAAAUAAAUCUUUUUAAAAAACAAAAAUACUUUUCUAAUGGAAAAAGGUGAAUGAAUAUUAGAACCCACAAAAUAAGGGUAAUCUUAUGUACAAAGUAUAAUUACUUACUUUCAGCUUUUUCUGCAGAGAUGCUGCUUCCCUGUGGCAGAGGCCAUUUUUAAACCGGUCUUACCAUGGAAUAGCUCCUAGGCAAUUUCACUCUUUUUUUUUUUUUAAUUAAUUUAUUUGACAGACAGAAACCACAAGUAGGCAGAAAGGCAGGCAGAGAGGGGGGGGGAGGCAGGCUCCCCGCUGAGCAGAGAGCCUGAUGCAGGGCUCAAUCCCAGGACCCUGAGACCAUGACCCGAGCGGAAGGCAGAGGCUUUAACCCACUGAGCCACCCAGGCACCCCUAGGCAAUUUCACUCUUCUGUUCAGGACUGAGCACAGAGGAUAAAGGAGAGUUCUCUUGCUUGCCCAGGUAAAGGUUUCUCAGUUUCUGCCCUGAGUACAUUUUGAGCCAGUAAUUCUUUGUUGUGGGAAGCUGAUCUGAGUAUUGUAGGAUGUUCAGCAGCAUCCCUGGCUACCACCAAAUAUAUGCCAGUACUAUUCCACUCCUAGUUGUAAUAACCUAAACCCUCUGUAGACAUUACCAAAUGCCCCUGAGGGACAAAUCUGUGGCCCCUCCCUGCUGUCACUGAAAACCACCAGCCUAUAUCAGGGCUCUUCUCACAAUUCUGGUUAGCUGUCCAUCCCAGCUGAUGGUAGGAGUCAUUAAAGAGAGAACUCAAUUCCCCAGAGAAGUAUAGAACUGGUCUUAUGGGCCUCCACAAGAUUAACAUACCACUGUGUUUAAUAGUAACCCCAAAUAUAAAAUAGAUACUGCAGGGAUGCCUGGGUGGCUCAGUGGGUUAAGCCUCUGCCUUUGGCUCAGGUCAUCAUCUUGGGGUCCUGGAUCAAGCCCAGCAUUUGGCUCUCUACUCGGCGGGAAGCCUGCUUCCCCACCCUCUGCCUGACUCUCUGCCCUUCUUAUGAACUCUCUCUCUGUCAAAUAAAUAAAAUACUUUUAAAAAAAAGAUACUACAGUAUAAAUAGCAGAGUUUCAUUUUAGUACCUAAACAGUAAAUUACUACUACCAUUUUAUAGAUUAGCUUACCGAGUUUUAGAAUUAAAUCCAGAAAAAUAAAACAGGUCAAAAAGGAAAGAGCUGGUUCUUUGAAAUGAUCAAUAAAAUAUGGCAAAAUAAAAAUAGCUAAGAUUUUUAAAUCAGAAGAUGUGAAGAAUGAAAAAGGAGUUAGAUUCAGAGGGGUUUUUUUUUUUUUUUAAAAUAAGCUCUACACCCAGUGUGGGGCUUGAACUCAAAACUGACAAAUCAAGAGUCACAUGCUCUACUGACUGAGCCAGCCAGACACCCCUAAAGGGAAUUUUAUUUUUACUUUUUUAAAAGAUUUAUUUAUUAGAGCACAUGCAUGAGCACAAGCAAGGGGAGGUGGAGAGACAGAGGGAGAAGCAGACUCCCAGCUGAGCAGGGAGCUCAACAUGAUCCCAAGACCCUGGGGACAAUGUCCGGAGCUGAGGGCAGAUGCUUAACCACCUAAGCUACCCAGACACCCCAGGAAUUUUAAAUAUAAGAGAAUACUAUGUAUAAAAUAUUGAGCACCUACCACAUAAAAAACAGGCACUAUAUGAGUUGCUAAAGGUACUGUGGUUAACAGACCCAAUUUGUGAAACCUGUUUAACAGAAUACCAGAGAAAAAAGGGGUUGGCACCUCUAACCUCUGCACUGUUUAAGCUUCCACUGUAUAUUUUAUAUUAUGUGUGUUGUAGUAUGAUAUUUUUUGAAGGUAAACUGUGAUAAGUUCAAGAUUCAUAUGGUAAAACUUAGAACAGCUACAAUAAAACACAAAAGCAGCCAACAGAGAAAUUAAAAUGAAAUACUACUAAUUAAUCCAAAAGAAGACAAGAAGAAAAAGAUGUAGAUUGAACAAGUAGAAAAUGAUAUAUCAAAAACUAAAUUAAUUGUAAAUGGUCUAAACACUGCAAUUAAAAGGAAGACA